rnacentral:rRNA from 1 species
GACGAACGCUGGCGGCGUGCCUAACACAUGCAAGUCGAACGGAGUUGAAAGGAGCUUGCUUUUUUCAACUCAGUGGCGGACGGGUGAGUAACGCGUGAGUAACCUGCCUUUCAGAGGGGGAUAACGUUCUGAAAAGAACGCUAAUACCGCAUAAGAUUGUAGCUUCGCAUGGAGCAGCAAUCAAAGGAGCAAUCCGCUGAAAGAUGGACUCGCGUCCGAUUAGAUAGUUGGCGGGGUAACGGCCCACCAAGUCGACGAUCGGUAGCCGGACUGAGAGGUUGAUCGGCCACAUUGGGACUGAGACACGGCCCAGACUCCUACGGGAGGCAGCAGUGAGGGAUAUUGGGCAAUGGGGGAAACCCUGACCCAGCAACGCCGCGUGAGGGAUGACGGUUUUCGGAUUGUAAACCUCUGUCCUCUGUGAAGAUAG